GGGCGGGGACCCUCGGAAGCCAGCUGGGUGGCGAUCGCUUGUCUGCCUUGGCAGGCCCCUUGUGCAGUCUUUUCCCGGCGUGAGCGUGCAGGGAUUGAAAAGGAAUGCUUUAUGGUUCAGCAGAGAGCCACCACGCAGGAUGCACUGGGACCUGAGAACCGUCGGGCAGUCCCACGAGCUCUUUCAUGACCAGCUCCAACCGACAAGUACACGCCCCUUCGCACUCCACUAGCUAGUAAGCUGAGCUACAAGGUGUGCCAGGCACCCAGGACGCCGAUUCACCGCUUCAGAGCCCUCUUUCUUCCAUUCACUUACCUGUCUAGUCAAACACCCAUCAGACCUUUGCCAGGUGUCCAGCCUGGGCACUACGUUUCAGAAAAUGAUGCACAUAGAAUCCCUAACUGAAAGGAGAUCGCAGCUCAUUUGGUACAAAGUGGCUGAUUCUUUGACUGGUGAGCCACUCCCCAGGCAGGCAUAGCAUCACAGAGUUUCUGAGAAGGUACACCCUGGAUGCAAAGCAGUGUUGCUGAAAGACUCCAUGCCAGGGCUUUUAGCCUGGGUAAGGAGCUGGAGAGAUGUGAAAAUGUGGAAAGCAAGCCUAAGUCGCAGUGUGGCCUAUGCCUGAGAGCCAUCUUCAGUGCCCCCUUGUGGCUGUAUCUGGGAACCACAGACAGAAUCAUGGAACUGACCAUCUUCAGUCUCAAAGUGCUGCCCUCACCACUACACCCAGGGGCAGGUGGUCUUCGGGGGAAAGGCGGUUCCAGUUCCUUCUCCCAAGGUAACAACUCCCAUCCCAAGGCAAUGUUCACAGAACCUAUCAGAGUCCCCCCUGCCCUAUGCACAGCUUAAGACCAGGGUGGUCUCAGCUCUGAUCAGGCCACUGAGGGCAUCUGUCUGAGAUUUGGGACCCAGUUAUUGUCCCUGUUCUUCUUAGGCAGAUGGCGGAGUUCCCCAGUACACAGAAGGUGCUCACUCUUCACAAAAAGCAGUGCUUGAGAAUAACAGCCUACCUUGGUGGAGUAGCUUCGUUAGGGCCAGGGCUUGACUUGAAGCCAGAGACUGAGGUUGCAGUCCAGCCUUGGGUCAGCCUCAGGCUGGGGCUGGGGUGAUGCUGAGACCCUCACCAGAAAAAAGGCCUUUACCCCAUCCGAAAGGAAAUGGCUAUCCUCUGACCUGAGCACUCUAGCCUGAGGCCUGCCUGGCGCUAGAAGCCAGCCUCUGUUGUCCCCUCCCAGCACUCCUCCCACUGCUCUGCCUUUCUGCCCACAUAGAAACUCUGGAGACACCAGCUCCCCACCCUUCCAAGCUAAGCCCCACUGCUGUCUCUGCCUCCUCCAUCUUUCAAACCGGCAAUGUUUUUCCAAUCAGGCCUCCCUAUCCUUCCCCUACUGCUCUGCCCUUCACUGCCUUCCUUUCCUGGCGACUCUCAGCCGCCCUUCAAGGCCCAGCUCAGGCGUUCUUUCCUCAGUGACGCACCCCCGGGCAGGCUGGGGCUUCUGGCACAGCUCUGGCCACCCUGCGUAUCUUCAGCUGUUCCCAAUGUUUGUCUCUGCUCCCAAGUAGCUCUCUCACAGUUUCUGGCACAGAGGAGUUGGCCCUGAGGGGGAUGAACAGCAAGGACAGGCAGGACAGUUCUGGCAGUAAGGAAGUUAGAACAAGGUCCUUUGGUCUCGGCUAGGAAGGGUUCCCAGGUGCUUAGUACUCACUGAACAGAAAGGAAUUAGAAAAGAGGUGGCAUCUUGUAAUCGCUAGGGUGACAGCAGGCCAGGCCUCUGCCUUUUUGGUAGAGCUGAGGCCAGGGGCAGGGAACACAGCUUGAGUGACCCAUAAGGAGCCUUCCAGCUCAGCCACCCAAGGGCCCCCCAGCUGGACAGGAGCCCUUUACCACAUGGUAGGCAUCAUGUCAAGUGGCUCCCAAUGACCCCUGCCCCCUGGCAUCCAUUCCCUGGUGUAAUCCCCUCCCGUCCAGUGGGAGCUGGACCGAGCAAUGUUCAUUUAAUGAACAGAAUAUGGCAAAAGUGACAGGAUAUCACUUCCCAGGUUAGGUUAUAAGGGCCUGGGACUUCCGUCUUGCUCGCACACUUCACUCCACUCACUGGCUCUUCUUGCUAAGUAAGCUGGUGUGCCGUGAGCUACCCCAUGGAAAGGCCCAUGUGGCAAGGAACUGAAAGUGGCCUCUGUCAACAGCCAGUGAGGAAGUCAAUCCUGCGAACAACUGCAGGAACGGCCUUGGGAGUGGAUCCUUCCUCAGCCCGGCUCCAAGACAACUGCAGCCCUGUGAGAAACCCUGAGUGGAGGACCAAGCCAAGCCUCAAAUCGUGACUUGGAACUGGGAGACAACAGAUGCUGUUGGAAGCCACUGAGCUCUGAAGUAGUUUGUUACACAGUGACAGGUAACUUACACACCAUGGCAGGGUCAUGUGG
rnacentral:lncRNA from 1 species